rnacentral:lncRNA from 1 species
GAAUUCAUACCAAAAAUUGAAGGACAGUUGUGUUCUUGAUGUUGUUUGGUGUUAUUGAAGUGCAACAGUUGAACAUGAAGCUCCCUAUAGUUGAAUGGCACAAAGAACCUGGCUCAUGGAUGCUUGCCUUUGCUUGCAAUCUAAUCUGCCAUGGAUGGGCCUCUUUUGAAAACAGCAGUGGAAUAUGGCUCUACAGCUGGAGGAAAGUGGUUGGAAUGGAC